UUGGCCCUAAAUCAAGGCUGAUGGCUUCCUGUGGCCUUCGGCUUCAAGCAGGAGCCUAAAUAAAUCUCUACCUGUGGUCUGAUGGCUUUCUCUGUACUCUGCAUGAGCCAGUCAUUUCAAUUGGGAGAAACAUUA